CCGGCGCACGGGUGAGUAACGCGUGUGCAACCUGCCCGGCACAGUGGGAUAAUCCGGAGAAAUCCGGUCUAAUACCGCAUGACGCGGGAAAGGCGCAUGCCUUUUCCGCCAAAGGAGGCGACUCCGGUGCCGGCUGGGCACGCGUGACAUUAGCUAGUUGGCGGGGCAACGGCCCACCAAGGCGACGAUGUCUAGGGGUUCUGAGAGGAAGGUCCCCCACACUGGUACUGAGACACGGACCAGACUCCUACGGGAGGCAGCAG
rnacentral:rRNA from 1 species